AUACGGAGGAUCCGAGCGUUAUCCGGAUUUAUUGGGUUUAAAGGGUGCGUAGGCGGCCUUUUAAGUCAGCGGUGAAAGUCUGUGGCUCAACCAUAGAAUUGCCGUUGAAACUGGGAGGCUUGAGUAUGUUUGAGGCAGGCGGAAUGCGGGGUGGAGCGGGGAAAUUGUUAGAUAUCACGCAGAACCCCGAUUGCGAAGGCAGCCUGCCAAGCCAUGACUGACGCUGAUGCACGAAAGCGUGGGGAUCAAACAGGAUUAGAUACCCUGGUAGUCCACGCAGUAAACGAUGAUCACUAGCUGUUUGCGAUACAGUGUAAGCGGCACAGCGAAAGCGUUAAGUGAUCCACCUGGGGAGUACGCCGGCAACGGUGAAACUCAAAGGAAUCGACGGGG
rnacentral:rRNA from 1 species